rnacentral:antisense_RNA from 1 species
GCGGGGCUGGGAAAAUUGCUGCCUGCGUCGGCUGGGCCUGUGGGCUUGUAGGCCUGCGUCCGGCAGCGCGCGGCCGUGCUUUCUAAGCGGGCUCGGUAGCACCAGACUUCACCGGCCCGGCGCGGGGCUCGAAAGUGCUCGCACUCCCUGCGGCCAGCGCGCUGACCGGAGCCUCUGGGUCUCGCACGCAGCAGCUGCAGACGCUGCCCGGCGCGGUGGGGCUGAGAGCAAAACGGCCCGCCAGUGUGGUUGCCCAGACAGUGCUGGGCCCUCCUAGGUGGAUGGCCCUGCCCCAGCCUAACUUCUGUACCCCAGCAUAACCUCCAAAGCAACAGCCGUGCCCUGGGAGCCUGUUCAACACUGAACAUAUCCCACAAUAACACAGUUCCAGCGUCGCUGGUAAAAAGCAGAAAUGGCUUUGCCGCAGUCAUCCAUAAAUCUAAUGCAGUAACCUCAUUUUACAGAAGAGAACUCUAAGAGGAUAACUAAUUUGGCCAAGAU